GCGGCCGCGGAGCGCCGGGCCCGCCUUGCAGGCGGGGUGGAGUAACAGUCGGUGCGUGUGCUUAAAACAACCGCGUUAUUCACCCCCAAAGGCGGAGGUUUACGGGCGCCUGGCGCUCAGAAAAGGUCUCUGGAAUGUUUUAAACCAACUUUUUCUUUUCGUAACUUUUGGGUAUUUUUUAGUUCUGCGGAAGCAUUUACAGGGUGUCUUAUUUGGGGAAGAAUUCUUAAGAGUUGGAGGGGCCUUUGGGAGUCUCACCUUGCCCGGUCCCGAAGUCACCCCGGCUCCCCCGCCAAAUCACGCCUCUAAAUGGCUGCUGGGGUGCAGCAUCCAGCACUCCUGGGUGCCGCAGACACUGCAGCUGACACUCAGGGCUGCCGGCAGUGAGCCAGGCUCGCCAUGACUCUGUCAACAAGCCCGAGGGGACAGUGACGCCGCCUGGUUGUGCUGAAGUGGAAAGGAGGCCCAGAAGGAUUAACCAGGUGAACUGCCUGAAGGCCUGAGAUCGCUAGCGGGCAGAGUUCAAGUCUUAGUGGACUUGGUAUAUUCAGCUUCUUCAAAUCUCCACAUUUCAAAUCUCCACUCACAGUCCAGACAGUAGCGUAUCCAGGAAGUCUUCUCUGGCCCACCCACUGGGUUUGUCCUCUCCUGCUGAGUUCCUGCAGUCCCCUGGGCUUCUAGCAACUAUGUCACUACAUUCAUGGUUGAUUAGUAACUUGUCUCAUUACAAAGUGCACACCCUGGGAAGAAUUCAUUACUAUAUUAAAUCUAAUUUCCCAUUUCCUGACACACUGCUUGACACAAAGUACUGUACUCUUUGAAGGUUUAUUGAAUGAUGCAUGAGCUUUUGAAAGUUCCUGUCUAGAACAUGCUCUUCCACAUUUGAUAGUAAGUUGUGAGUCAAUUGCUACCUUUUAAUUAAGUUGUCAGAAGGCAUUAACAUGAGUGUUUUGUGCUUUGAAUUAUUUCUUUUUCAGUGAGUGGUAGCUCAAGGCAAAGAAAUCUGACUAUUGCCAGGUUCCUAUGCUGAAAUGAACUAUGAAAAGUGGUACCAAGGAAAUGAUGAUAUUAUUUAAUCCUAUAAAUUUCUAGGGGGGAGAUCUAUUAUAGCUUCUUCUAUUAGUCAUUAAAGAUUAUUAGACCAUGUUCUAUGUUCUGUAUCAUAAUUGUGUCCUGCAGUAGUUUGAUGACAUUGCUUGAGAUAAACUAAACCUGUGCUAUUAUCAUGCUUCCUUUACAAAAUCCUCUCUUUUUUCCUGGCUUUGUGUCACCUUCCUACACGGUCUUAUAUGUCAGAGCUCAUGCAGAGAUAUUAAAAAUAACAUACUGGGAUCUUACCUGCUAUUAAGUGCCCUUUCUUAUUCACAAACGCUAUAAUUUAGAGAAGAAAAACAUCUCAGAAGAAAACACUUGACUCGUUUUAUCGCCGCUAAGUUCCUCAUGCUUGUGUCCAAGGUGAUUUCACCCACUCUUUGUGUGCUGUGUGCGAGUAUUAACCCAACUUUGUGCUUCAGGGUUACUUUUCAACUACUCUUCCAUAUCAAGGAAAUCUCCCUCAGGUAUUGCCCUCUAAGAAAGAUUAGAGCUGAUGGAUAUUACUGUGUAAGAAAUGGCUGGGCCUUUUCCCCAGAGUCAUUCUACUUUGUCUUGUUUACACCAAAGCUCAACUUACAACCUGUCCAAAUGAAUAGAAAAGAACACGAACAAUGGCUACAAUAGAGUCAGCUGAGGAGAGCCACAAAGAAAAUGAUAAAAUACGUAUUCAGCAUAAUGUUAUUUAUAUGCAUUCAAGGGCUGAGAGAGAUGUUAGUGGAUGGCAUCCUUGCUGACUAAGCAGAGGUGGUCCAGCAUCCUCUCUUACCUAUGAGAAAGAAGUAAAUUAAGAAUUCCGUCCAUAAAUCACCAACUCAAGAUGUUAAAAAUGAUUAAAAAGACACAGUCAAUCCUCAUUAUUUGUGGAUUCUGUAUUUGGGAAUUUGCCUAGUCAAAACUUAUUUGUAAUCCCAAAUCAAUGCUCACACGGCCUUUGUGGUCAUUCUCAGACACGCCCAGAGGGGUGGAAAAUUUGACAUGCCUGAAGUACAUGUUCACAGCUGAGUUUGAACAAGAUGAUCUACUUUCUUGUUUCAACUGUCUACUGUAAAUACGUAUCCUUGUGGUCUGUUUAGUGCCACAUUUUUCAUAUGUUUGGUUUUUUGUUGGUGAUUUGCUGUUUAAAACGCCCCCCAAGCACGACGCUGAAGUGCUGUUCGGUGUUGCUGACGCAGCAGUGCGGUGUGCCUUACGGAGGAGAGCGGGCGUUAGCUAAGCUUUGUUCAGGCACGAGUGACAGUGCUGUCGGUGAGCUCCAUGUUGAUGAAUCAAGAGUGUAUAUUAAAUGAGGUGUCUUUAAACACAAAGACACAUAAAACAAGGUUAUGCAUCUACCGGUUGAUGAAAAUGUAACCAGAGGAAGCUCAAAGGAACCUAGUUCUGUAUUACCCCUAGAAAUAAGUCAGUAUUGACUUAUUCAGUGUUUGCUAUGACUUUAGAAAAUCUACCUAGCAUGAAUAAUGAGAAAUAAGUGUAUAUGCAGCCGUCUUAGCUUGGGCUCUCAUAGAAGCAGACCUCAAGAGAGGAAGUUAUUUGGGGACUGAUCCCAGGAAACAUUUGUGUGGGAGUAAGAAAGUAAGACAGGCAAGAAAAUGCAGGCCGUGGAGGAUGAAUUUUCAAGCAAGUCAGCUCUGUGGACGGAAGCUCAACUCUGCUCGAGAGGCCUGGGAACCAGUGAAGAACAGGUACCUCAGUGAUCUUUCCUGAGUGGGGAGGGAGGCAAUGUCUUUCUGAGUAUUUGAGGAUUUUUCAAAUAUCUUUCUCUUACUUAUUUCUAGGUUAAUUCCAUUAUGUUCUAAGAAAAUAUUUGGUAUGAAUUAAAUUUUUUAAAAUUUCUUCAAGUGUUUUUUAUGGCCCACUAAAUGUUCUAUCUUGGUGAAUGUUCCAUGUGCUUUCGAGAAGACUGUGCAUCCUAUAGCAUUGUUGGGUGGAUAUUUUUAAACUGUCAUUUACUGAUUUUUUUUGCCUCCUUGUUCAAUGGAUAACUGAGAGGAAUGUUAAUGUUACCAAGCAGAAUUUUAAAUGUGUCUGUUUCUCCAUUUAGCUCAAUUAGGUUUUGCUUUAUGCAUUUUGGAUCUCUGUUGUUAGCUGGGUAUAAACUGAUGUUGUAUGUUUUCCUGAUGGAUUGAGGUUGUAUCAUUUCGUGCUGUUUCUUUUUAUGAAAUGCUUCCAUUUACCUCAUGGAGGAAUGUUAUAAUGACUGCUUUAAGUUGGCUCCUACUGGUUUGAUUUCAUGCCCCUCAGGGGUUUAGUCUCUUGCAUUACACCCCUUGGAUUUCUCUGCCUCUGGGGCGCCUGCUGUGGGACUCCAUUGUCUGUUGGACUUCCCACCCUCACUGCCUGGUCCUGCAUUUGACAAUGUCUUAUCGAGUUAUGUGUGGUGUCCCCAGCCAGGCUAUUGGAUCUUUGCUGAUUCCCCUCCCCCGUCAGUGUCUUCGCUCAAACUGGACAAGUUGAAUACAAUUGAACUGAGUGGAUUCAUCGAUGGAAAAUUCACAGGUCCAAUCCAGCCAAUGUAAUAUUUUCUUCAUUACAAUAUGAUAUUCCCUUGAAUAACCCUUUUCACUCUAAGCAUCUGUGGAAUUUCAUGGAACAGAAAUGUAGUGCACAUUUCAUACCUCCCCAUGUUUUAAGCCCAAUUAUAAUUGAAGACAGCCCUCAUAAAUCUAAUUAAAUGUCUUACAGAGACUCCAUAGGUGUACAGGCCAGAGGGAAUUAAUGUAUUAGUGUUGCUGUCAGUCACAGGAAGUUAAGACAAAUAAUGUAUUAAUAUGACUGAUAUAAAAUGAAUGAUCUGCCAUUCAUCUGCCACAGUCACCUACUUUAUUAAGGUAUUGGCAGCGUUUAGCAAGGCUGUUGCUUAGUCUGUUUGUGUUGCUAUAAAGGAAUACCUGAGGCUGGGCAAUUUAUAAAGAAAAGAGGUUUAUUUGACUCACGGUUCUGCAGGCUGCACAAGAAGCAUGGCCUCAGGCUGUUGCCACUCGCCACAAAAGGCGAGGGGUAAGGGGAAGGGGAAGGUCUGUGCAGGUCACACAGUGAGAAAAGAAGCAAGAGAUGGGGAGGAGCUGCCAGGCUCUUCUUAAUAGGCAGCUCUCUCAGAAUGAAUAGAGUGAGAACAGGCUCACUCCUCCCUACCCCAGGGAGGGUAUUAAUAGAUUCAUGAAGGAUCUGCCCCAAAUACCCCAAACCCAAACACCCAAACACCAGGACCCAAACACCUCCCAUUAGGCCCCCCCUCCAACACUGGGGAUCAAAUUUCAACAUGAGAUUUGGAGAGGUCGGUCAAACAAAUCAUAUCCAAACUCUAGCAGUUGGCAAAUUGACAGCAAUCACUUAUUCAUUCAUUCAUUAAUCAUUUCUUCAGCAUAUAUUUAUUGAUCAUCUAUUAUAUGCCAGGCAGUAGAAGAGGACACUGUGUGUGUGGGGGGGUGAAGUUUGGGCUUUCUGGUGGAGGCCUGUAUACCUGCAGAGUGAUGAGUUUGCUGAGGAGAAGCUGUGCCUUGGCAGGUCUCCUCCCUCUCUGUGUUACCAAGAAGGGAUAGUGCAUCUCAGCAGAAUUGGUUCCAGGAAGUCACACACUAGGGAGGGACGGACCUGGGCCUGAGUCUCUGCGGUAACACCACCACCACCAGUCAGAGUUUAGUAACUCUUAAAUUUAAUAACAAGCUCAACAACAGCAUCAUAAGCCACAGUGUGCCACAUGUAUUAUACAAAAUUACCUCAGGGAUAGGCAAAACUAUUUUUGUUAUUUUACAAAUCAAAAACUUGAAACACAGAGAGUCUGAAUAGCUUGCCAAAGUUUGAGUUAUCAUGUGGCUAUCUGAUUUGGAAGCUCAAACUCUUUUCUCUUAAUUAAUAAAUUAUUUCAGAAUAUUAUGUGGUACAAAUGUUUAGAUUACAUAUAUUGCCUUUGCC